CAGCAGCCGCGGGAAAACGGAGGGAGCAAGCGUUAAUCGGAAUUACUGGGCGUAAAGCGUGCGUAGGCGGUGGUUUAAGUCCGUUGUGAAAGCCCUGGGCUCAACCUGGGAAUUGCAGUGGAUACUGGGUCACUAGAGUGUGGUAGAGGAUAGUGGAAUUUCCGGUGUAGCAGUGAAAUGCGUAGAGAUCGGAAGGAACAUCUGUGGCGAAGGCGACUAUCUGGGCCAACACUGACACUGAGGCACGAAAGCGUGGGGAGCAAACAGGAUUAGAUACCCCAGUAGUCCCUGUUUCUUAUAC
rnacentral:rRNA from 1 species